CCACUGACUUCACCAAGUCACAUAGAGGACUAGACACAAGCUGGUCUAGAGAUACCUAAAUGAGUCACAUUGAUUCACCUUAAUGGCAUGGGUCUACACGAAUCGACUAGUGACCUAAUCAAAAUAUAAUCUACCAUGUUGGUCAGAUAAGUGGAUCAGUAGGAGGGAUGUGCCCUUAACUCACCAUAAACGCAUCUAGGUGAAUAGCUCCCAAUUAAAAAUCACUUGAUCGAAUCUACCAAACUUACCUUAGACACUAACUGAUUAAUUAGUUUUGAUUUGGUACACCCAA
rnacentral:lncRNA from 1 species